GGGAGCAGGUGCCGAGCAGCCGCCCACGCCGCACCGCACGGUACCGCGCCGCACGGUACCGCAUCGCACCGCACCGCAUCGUACCGAGCCCAGCCGAGCCCAGCCGCACAGACAGGACAUAUGCAAAAUCAUUUUACCAUGGCACAAAUACAGGAAAGAUGAUUUGGAAGAAAGGCCAGAGGCCAGAGGCUCCAUUUCUAAUUCUUCCUCUCACCUGCUGCAGACUGUGGGAACUUUUGAGCCUCUCAGUCAAUCAGAAUAAAAAAGCAUUGUAAGUCUCAAGAAUAAAUACAUGCCUGUAACACUUCAUGGAUACUUCUGGUUCGAAAGCAGAAGGAAACACGAAUCAGAGCUCUUGCUGAGCAAAGGUGAGGACAGCACAGCUGGUGCCAUCUGCUUGGCAGCAGCCAAUGGGCAAACCAAGACUGGCCACUCAUCGGCACGAGGCGAAGUUUGGACAAGCCAGGGCAGAAAUGACUUCUUGGCUGGCGAGGGUUCAACAGUGAGAUCCAGCUGCUCCCAUGGGUGGGAGGCUUCCAGGAGCACAGGGCACAUCUUCCUCACAAGCGUGUCUCUAGUUCUGUGCUUCACAGCUGUAGUUACAGUUCUGUCACCAAAUUCUGCCUUCCCUCCCAAAAUAGUCGUGAUGUUUUGUAGAUUACACAUGGCAAUACCAUUCCUCUUCUAAGGAGAUUACAAUUUUGGGAUAUAAAUUAUAUUAAUUCCCAAAACCUACCUUCUAGAUUUUGAGUUACAGACUGGAAUAUAAUCUCACUGUACCAAAACCAUCCAGCUAUUCUCAGAUAGGCCUGAUCCUUUUCUUAAUGUAGCCAAAGCAAAGCUCUCACUGAGUUUAGUGUGACAUGACCAAACUUGGGCUGUGCUGCUUUUUAUUUGGUUAGUAGCACUUGACAGGAUAAUGUAAGCGUAUCUUUUGUACGUACUUCGUAUGUGGCAGCACUGUAUGGUAGGCAAAAGCAGUAUGAGAAAUCCCCACAAAAAUAAUUAAAAACCCAAACAACCGAUAGUAGGAAAAAAAAAAAAACCCACCAUGAAAAAAACCACAAAAUCAAUAGAUUAUGAAAGCUGCUCUGAGCCUUCCACUGCUAUCAUCUCAAGGCUUUAUAAUCAAAUA
rnacentral:lncRNA from 1 species